CGCUUACUGGAGGCGGACGCGCUGGCGCGGGGUCCGGGCGGCCCCGGGAGCGGGGUCCCCAGCAGCCCCGUGCGGUGGGACGGGGGUCCGCGCUCCGGGGUGGACGGCUCGCUCCUCUCCGUCUGCACGGCGGUUGGUCACGAGCUCCUCUGUGGUUUCAUGCAAACAUGGAGUGACAUUUGGGAAUGCAGCGCUCCACAUUCUGUGCAUUGACUGACGGAGUCAUUGGUGGAACCAGCAGUCAACACCUUCAGCUCCGAGCAGACAACUCACUCCUGAGGGGGAAUCCUUUAAAUACACUUUAGGUCUGGAAAAAAAAAAAACUUUUCAAAUUAAGAUUUGACAGAUUGUCUAUUUUUUCCAAAUAAACUUUGUUAUUUAGAAUAUUUUUACAACUUUUGAUUGAAUUUCUUGGAAUUUUUUAACAGGUUUAAAACAAAAAAAUCAAAGAAAAUUAUGUUUGUUUCUUUUUGUGUGUUUUUUUAUCAACACAAAAGUGUUUGUUUGUUCAGAGAAUGGACCAGAAACAGCAGACAUUGUCAAAAAUGUCACAUAUUAAAACAAACUUUUAAAAUGGAAGAAUGUAUUGAUUUAAUGAACAAAAUCAAUCAAUCACAAUUUUUCUUUCAUUUGUGAGACGAUUAUAUUGAUUUAAGAAUGUUUUUCCUCAUGGUUGUCUGUCCUCGUUCCCAUUCAUGAAUAGAUUUCUGAGCAUACAUUCUCUUUUGUCCUACAACACAUGCUCUUGUGUUUUUCUCUGUCUUUUUCCAUUAAUCCCAGAGCCAGAAGUCUGUCAUUUUGGUGUCUCCUUUCUAUUCAGCACCAGAAUUUACUUCAAAAAAACUUUUAUAAAAGUCUCUCAAUCAAUUUAAAAAAAAAAAAAAGGCUGAUCGGAACUGAUUUUUAAAAUAAAAAAUCCAAACUUGACAGUAUUUUUAGAAACGUUUUGUUUGGUGUUACUUGUUUUUUUAGUGUAGGGCCUUGAGAAACCACAGUUGUAAACUAAACAUUAUAAAUGGAGUGGUAAUGCUAUAUUUUCCCAGUUUUAAUGUCCAUUCCCGCUGAAUAAAAGAUUCUAGGAAUGAUGCGUCUCAGGUUAUUCCUUCUCUUUGAAAUUGGAGACCAGCAGAUAAAGCAGAUAUGUGAUUUUUUUUAUCAUUUUAGAAAAAAAAAUAAGGAGUAAAUAUGUCACUCUACUCGAGAAACCCUUUUUAUUUUAGUAGACGAUGCUCAUUUGAUCCCAGAUUUACCUUUUAGUUGUAGAUUUUUUAGCUAAUAA